AUUGAACGCUGGCGGCAGGCCUAACACAUGCAAGUCGAGCGGAUGAAGGGAGCUUGCUCCUGGAUUCAGCGGCGGACGGGUGAGUAAUGCCUAGGAAUCUGCCUGGUAGUGGGGAUAACGUCCGGAAACGGGCGCUAAUACCGCAUACGUCCUGAGGGAGAAAGUGGGGGAUCUUCGGACCUCACGCUAUCAGAUGAGCCUAGGUCGGAUUAGCUAGUUGGUGGGGUAAAGGCCUACCAAGGCGACGAUCCGUAACUGGUCUGAGAGGAUGAUCAGUCACACUGGAACUGAGACACGGUCCAGACUCCUACGGGAGGCAGCAGUGGGGAAUAUUGGACAAUGGGCGAAAGCCUGAUCCAGCCAUGCCGCGUGUGUGAAGAAGGCCUUCGGAUUGUAAAGCACUUUAAGUUGGGAGGAAGGGCAGUAAGUUAAUACCUUGCUGUUUUGACGUUACCAACAGAAUAAGCACCGGCUAACUUCGUG
rnacentral:rRNA from 1 species